GGCAUUUCAAAACAACCAUCUUGGGCCUGGUGCAAGCACAAUCACCUGAAAAAAGAGAGCAAAACUGGCAGACAAAAACACUGCUCCUGGCAUGUGAAAACACCGCACUAUGUACAGCUAACACAAUGGCACUACUGCGACUGAAGCAAUACAUCCAUCACUACACUUCCGAUGACCUGCACUUUGCUGAUGCCUGAAACCAGUUCUAAAUUACAGCCUCCUCCAUCCAUGGGCUGUGCAUGCUAGCUACACACCAGCGUCAGCCUGCCAUUGCUGGAGCAACAGCCAGUUCUCAUUCCAGACAAUAUCCUCAAGUCUUCAGUUUGUUGGUUAUCAGCUUCACCAGGAGAUUUGGGGAGAAAAAAAGAAACUACCUUAAGCCUUGUUAAAAGGAUUCAAAAGGAUUCAACAUCCCCACCCUAUUAGCCAAGGCACUGAAAACAGGUACCAGAGUUCACUUUAGCAUACAAAGCAGGUACUUCUGAGUAAUAAAAUAUGAGAACAUACUUGUACUUAAGACUACAUUUAAACUAUGCUAUCUAAAAUUUUGUCUGCAUCUAACUUUUCAGGAUCAAGAAAACCAAAAGGGGUUAAAGCAAUGUGUAUCUAUGAUGUUUGUUAAAGCAAUGAUCAUCUGUACACAUAAACAGACUACCACCAAGUCUUCCAUCAGAAUCAGAAUUGGCACCCGGCUUUGCUAAAUCGUAAUUUUGUUCAGGAGAGCUUUCUGUAAACUAAACUGACUUCAAGUUGUUGACAUUAUACCAAAGAGCAUAGAAAACUGUUCAGGUUUGAAGGAAGGGUGCCACCUGCCUUACACUGUUUGGGUUUGUUUUUUGAGGCAGGGUGGAAGACUUGGAUUUACUUUAAGAAACAUUAAAAGCUGAACCAAAAAGAUACUAUACUGAAGCAACCACCACCAGCAAGGACAACAAGUAAAUAUGCCAACAGUUCUGUCAGCAUAACCUAUGAAUCCUUACUUUUUGCUUGUAAGGGUUAGAAAGGAAAACUCCAGAAAGCCUCACUGUACUCAUUAAAAACAGUGGACCCUUCUGCAGUUUCCCAGUUUUUCUUAUGUUUUCUAGGUACAGAAUAACUUUGUCCCUCUAAAACAAAUUAAAAUGGAAAGAGCACACCAGCCGUUGUCACCUGAAGAUCAUGGCUACUGAGCUUCACCUUAUGCUACCUGAACAAUUUCCGCACAACAGAAAGACUGAACUACAGCCAGCUGUUCACAGAAUUUAUGUUUGUACCAGCCAUUAACUUCAGGUUUUUUUGCAUUACAGGAAGAUUUGACAGCACCUCAAAUCUUGGGAAAUUGUGUUUUCAAGGAAUUAACGGGGAAAUAUCUCUCCCAUGGCAAACUGUCUAAGCAGACUGAUUCAGUAAGAGUGAUUUCUACUCCCAAACUCGGGUACUUGAUUGCUAAGCGACCACUAAGUACCCACUUAACCUCUCAAAAGAUCUGUGCAAGGCUAUUUCUGAAACACUGAGACCUAAGGUUUGGAAAAACCUGACUUUGAGGAAACUUACACCAGGCU